AGCUGCUUUAGACGAGCUAUCAGACGUUCAGGCGGCACUUGAGACUCGACUUCAGCCGCGCAGGACUCCGCUCAGCCUCGAGCCAAGUGCUGUUCGUUUCCUCACUUUGAAAAUGAACAAAUGUCAGAGAUAGUAACGACUCUUACCCUGCUGUUUAGCUCUCUUCACCCUCAUCAAUGACUCCAUGUUAUUUUAGGUCACCGUGUUUGUCAUUUGAAGAAUUUACUAAAAAAAAAAAAAGCAGCAUUUAAAAAUGCCGCCUCAACUCCGCCUCGCUGUGUUUAUGUCUCUGCAGCCAGUGAACUACCAGUUCUUCUUCUUCUUCUUGAGUUUGAGGGUGAGCAAGAUCUUUUCAGUGUGGAUUACCACCACCAACUGGUGAGGAGGAGUGUUGGUCAGCCAGCAUUGACGACUGCCUGUGGCUUCGCGACAUAAUUAUUUUCAACACCUGAGCCGCAUCAGAGCGAUCAAAGAGCCGCAGGUUGCCGACCCCUGUUCUAAACGGCUCCGUUUCGACUAGAGCGUCCAUCAACUGAUCUCCUGAUCCACUAUGUCAAGUGUUCAUGUUGGCGUCCAUUGUUUACCAUAGGUUCAGAAUUUACUUGUUUUGGUGGACAUCACUCAGGCACUUUGUGAUUUAGAGACUGGCACCAUGCUUUGCCAUACAGUACAGUUGUCCUCAUACUGGAAAUCUCACAUAUUAGGUGAUAAUUGUUUACGCUGAAUAAUGUGUAAUCACAAUUUUACCCUGGUCUGGUCUGCAAGCCUUUACUUAGGCUUUGUUUUUUUUUGUUUUUUUUAUCUCAAAUUGGCCAACUUUCUAUUAUUCCUAUCUAAUUUGUCAAUCAUACACUUCAGUAAAACGAACAAGAAAAGCAAAUGCUCACCAAUUACUGAGAGUUAGGGGCAGGUGGGUCGCUACAUUUGUAGCCUACUUGGCGACGAUUGUGGUCAGUGUUGCUAGUGUGGUAUGGAAAUUCAGACUUAUUUCCAAAUACAGGAAGUGACAACAGAGCAGUGUUAAUUUCACUGGCAAAUUAUUUUCGUUAUUUCGUUAAUAUACCUUUAUUUCAUAACAAAACCAACACGAUAAUGAAAUAAAAAUGAGAUAAAAAUGUUGACAGAGACGACAUUCAAUCCGAACUGAUUUUGUUUGGUGGAGAUAGGGAGAAGGUCCAAUCAUAGAAGCUUUGGCUCACAGAGAAAGGCGGGACAGCUGGGUUAGGGUUAGGGCCGUUCAAUCAGUUUUAAGCUCUUCAUAAUGCACCUGGUAUGGUGGGCAGACAUUUGAGCCCAACCUGGGGAGAGGAGACAAACCCAGCAGUCAGUUGAGUAUUUUUCUCACUUAAAUGGAUUGGAAACUUUGACAAUGUUGAGAAGAACGAGAAGAGCAGAUGUAUGGACACAUUUUGCAUCGUUAAAAAGAAGACGAUGUUCACGCCAUGCAGGGCGAUGACCUUGCGGAAAAAAAUAGGACAAAACUCUAAAAACAUCUGCAGACAAGUCACCCAGAUCUCCUCACUAAGCUGCAGAAGACUUCACAUGACAAAAGUGGGCCACAUAAUACCAAGAAAGUGACUUCCCAGCUAAAUAUAUUAGCUGAUCUUCUCAGUACUGUAAAGUACAAAAGUGACAGAAAAGACCAACGGAUGAAAGAGAAGGCUAUCGGCAAAUGGACUGGGUGUAAAGGAUUACCAGUGACUACCGUAGAAGAUGAGGACUUCAUUCCUUUGACGGAAACACUUGAUGGGCAGCUGACGGUUCCAAAAAAUAAAAAAUAAAUAAGCAACCUAAUGGACAAGUAUUAUUAAGGUGGAGUACAAAAUAAAGAAAAAAGAUUGUCUGCUGCCUGGUGAGUCUCUGUUGGCAUUGAACUGUGGACAAAAUAAAAGGGCUGAUGCAUCAUUUCUGGCUAUAAGUACAUAUAUUGAACAAAUAGCCCACCCACACACUGCCCAGUCAAUCAAGAUAUGUGUGGAUAAACAUAUGAAAGAAUGGGGAAUACCAAACGAGAGGAUCCUCACAGUGAUGACAGACAAUGAAAGUAACAUGGUGGCAGCAUUUAAACACACCACACCUGAGGGAGAGGAAACCACCUCUGAUAAUUCAGAAGAUGCUCCAUUGGUGGAAAGUGACUCUGACCCUGAAACUGAUAACUUAUGAUACCAUCAUGCUGACAUGGAUAUAGUGAAACGGACCAUGUGUUGUGCACACAUUACAGCUUGCCAUCCUCAUGAUACAGAAGGAACCAGGUGUCAACAGACUCCUUGAUAAAGCAAAGUCAGUAAAGCUGUUCCACAAGUUCUCCGUUGCAACACAAAGGCUAUUGGAUGAAUGUAGCUGCAUUGUUGUAAAUGUCUGCCCUACAUGAAGGUCAAGCACAUUCAACAUGAUAUCACGACAAGUGUUGUAUAAAGUACCGAAAUCUCAGAGUCACGUAAAAGUAUAGGUACUACUCCAAGGACGAGAUAAAACCCUGACGGACUAACACUACAAGGUUUAGGCAUAGUUACCCCACUACUAUACUCGGAAUAAACCCCAGUUGUUGCCUCAAAAUAAGGAUUAAUGUUCAACCUGAAAUUAUCAGGAUAAUGGGGUUAACUCCUUGUUCUACCUGAUGUUGACUACUAGUAAGGGUUAAUGCUUCUUGUAGUAAUCUAUCAAAACCUCCAUGGCGAACCGGAAUAGCCUCAUUCCCUGUGUGCCAUCUCAUAUAAACCCAGUAGUGACACCCAGUGUUGUAUAAAGUACUAAAAACUCGGAGCCAAGUAAAAGUAUAAGUAACUCUAACAAAAUAUGACUUCGGUAAAAGUCCAAGUCACUGACU